rnacentral:rRNA from 1 species
UACGUAGGGUGCAAGCGUUGUCCGGAAUUACUGGGCGUAAAGGGCGCGUAGGCGGGAUGGCAAGUCGGUCGUGAAAUCCCUCGGCUCAACCGAGGAACGUCGAUCGAUACUGCUGUUCUUGAGGAUUGCAGAGGAGACUGGAAUUCCCGGUGUAGCGGUGAAAUGUGUAGAGAUCGGGAGGAACACCGGUGGCGAAGGCGGGUCUCUGGGCAAUUCCUGACGCUGAGGCGCGAAAGCGUGGGGAGCAAACAGG